AUGAACGCUGGCGGCGUGCUUAACACAUGCAAGUCGAGCGUGAAAGCUUCUUCGGAAGUAAGUAAAAGCGGCGGACGAGUUAGUAACACGUGAGAAUCUACCCCUCAGUGAAGAAUACCCUCGAGAAAUCGAGGUUAAUGCUGCAUACGUCUCUACAGAGAGAUCUGUUUAGAGAAAGGUGGCCUCUUUGCUGCCGCUGAGGGAUGAGCUUGCGGACUAUUAGCUAGUUGGUGGGGUAAAGGCCUACCAAGGCUAUGAUGGUUAGCCGGCCUGAGAGGGUGUACGGCAACGCUGGAACUUAGACACGGUCCAGACUCCUACGGGAGGCAGCAGUGAGGAAUAU
rnacentral:rRNA from 1 species